rnacentral:tRNA from 1 species
ACUUUUAAAGGACAAGAGUUGUCCAUUGGUUUUAGGUACCAAAAAACUGGUGCAACUCCAGAUAAAAGUA